UGAAAUGCGAUAAGUAAUGUGAAUUGCAUUAUCUCGUGAAUCAUCAAAUCUUUGAACGCACAUUGCACUCUUUGGUUCUCCAAAGAGUAUACCUGUUUGAGCAUUAGAAACCUUACUCCUAAAUUUUUUUUAGGGAUUUGAGAUUCUACUGUAUUGUAGUAUCUUUAAAAUUAUAUUGAUAUUGGGAAAUUAUUUUCAGUGGGAUAUUGAGCUUUUGUCUCUUUGAACACUAGAAUAAAUAUCCUUUGAAAUCUUUUAUAUAGGAAUCUUUUUUGAACCUUUAAUCUCAAAUCAGGUAGGAUUACCCGCUGAACUUAA
rnacentral:misc_RNA from 1 species